AUGGAAGACCUGCUGAAACUUUUAAAGUUACAUUCUGCUGGGACAAGUGCAAUUCCAGCAAGCAAGUAUUUUUUGGGGAAACCAUUAGCUGGUAUUGUAGAUCAAUUUGAACACCAUCAUUACUGCAGCGUAUGUACUAAGUACCUUGGCACUUCACAGUCACAAGAAGAAACACUUACAUGCGUGUCAUGUUCCUCAUCCAUAACAGUAAAAGCCAGUUUACACGAAGGACAUUUCUUUAUCAGUAUUCCAUUAAAGGGCCAACUGAAAGAUAUUCUUGAGAAUCAGGGUAUGCAUGAUCUCUGUUUUCCUGCUGAUGACAGUAGUAGAGAAGUAAUAAAUGAUAUAUGUGAUGGCACCUUAUAUCAGGCCUUGCAGUCAAACAGUGAAGCGGAUUUCCUUUCCCUUACAUUUAAUUGUGAUGGUGUACCAGUCUUUCAGUCCUCUAAAUUUAGUAUUUGGCCAAUACUGUGUUGUGUUAAUGAGAUACCCCCUCAGUGCAGAGAUAAGCAUGUACUUUUAUGUGCUUUGUGGUUCGGUUCCAAAAAGCCAGACAUGACCUGUUUCUUCAAACCAUUUGUGGAGGAAUGUGCCAAUCUUUCACAAACUGGUUUUAAGUGGCAUCAUCCUAUUGAUCAGUCAUGGAGAAAUGUGAAGGUGCACCCAUUGUGCUGUGUGUGUGAUGCAGUAGCAAGGCCUUUACUACAGAAUUUUAAGCAAUUUAAUGGUGAAUAUGGCUGUGGAGUCUGCCUUCACCCUGGGGUGCAAAUGAGGAAAGGACAAGGAAACUCAAGAGUUUACACAUGUUCAGCUGAAAAACCAAGUGACAGAAAUCAUAAAACCACAGUAGAAAUAGGACAAAUUGCUGAAAGAGAAGGGAAGACUAUAUUGGGCAUAAAGGGCCCAUCUGCUAUUGUAGAUUUAGCAAAGUUUGAUCUAAUCAAUGGGAUGGUCCCUGACUAUAUGCACUGUGUGUUGCUUGGCGUGUGUAGACAAAUGGCGACUUUAUGGAUCGAUUCUAAGAGCUAUUCUGAGCCAUGGUACAUUGGCACACAAACAGCAAUCAUGGACAGACACCUCUUGUCUAUAAAACCACCAGGUAUUGUUGCUCGAGUUCCAAGAUCUCUCACUGAACGCAAGUUCUGGAAAGCCCACGAGUGGCAACACUGGCUUCUGUAUUAUAGCUUGCCAGUUCUGAAAGGCAUACUUCCACAGAAGUAUCACUCUCAUUGGGCGUUACUGAUAGAGGGCAUAAGCAUUCUGUUGGGAUCUGAAUUAAGUACAGAGCAGAUAAAUCACGCCCAUGACGCAUUAGUGUACUUUGUUGGAGGUGUGCAAGCGCUGUAUGGGGAAGAGCACAUGACAUUCAAUGUUCAUUCACUUCUGCAUUUAAGCCAAAGUGUUGUGCAUUGGGGUCCAUUGUGGGCCCACUCAGCCUUUAUGUUUGAAGCUUUCAAUGGAUACCUACUGAAACAAGUAAAAAGUAGUCAAGCUGUACCACAACAAAUAUGCAAACGAGUGAUGUUGUCCCGUGCUUUUCCCCGUUUAGCAAAACAAUUCCUAACAAAUGCACCAGCAGAGGUUAAAGAUUUCUGUAAUGAAAUGAGAACCGAAAAGCAUCAUGUCAAGAAGUUUGCAAAGUUUGCUGAGGUGACUGCCCUUGGUCCACCAAAUGUAAGAUUAAUAUCUGUUGGUGAUCAAGCUGCCCUCCACACAGUGAAACAGGUUCCCACAAACUAUGUGGUGAAUUACUACAAGAGAAUUGCUGUAAAUGCAGAAGUUGUACAUGGUCAUACCUACAGCAAAACAAAACAAAGAAACAACUCUAUUGUGCUUUUGAAGGAUGGGAGUAUUUUUAGAGUCUCCCACUUUAUUGACAUUGGUGAUCAGUGUUUAUAUGCCAUAGGGAACUAUGGUAAAUGCACAGUGCAGAAGUUAGCCAGAGGUUCUCUUAUCAAAACUCCACUGAGCUACAUGUCAACGGUGCACUUUCCCACAGGCUUUCACAAAGCCAUAAACACUACUCAGGUAGUUGGACCAUGUAUGUAUAUUCAGUGUCCACAAUCCAGCUCGUUUGUGUGUCGGCUGCUGAAGACAUAUUAUUGUAAAUGA
ensembl:lncRNA